UUGAAACCUAGUGAUGUAUGGAUUAGUGGCGGACGGGUGAGUAACGCGUGGAUAACCUGCCGUAUACAGGGGGAUAACACUUAGAAAUAGGUGCUAAUACCGCAUAAGCGCACGGUUCCGCAUGGAACAGUGUGAAAAACUCCGGUGGUAUACGAUGGAUCCGCGACUGAUUAGCCAGUUGGCGGGGUAACGGCCCACCAAAGCGACGAUCAGUAGCCGGCCUGAGAGGGUGAACGGCCACAUUGGGACUGAGACACGGCCCAAACUCCUACGGGAGGCAGCAGUGGGGAAUAUUGCACAAUGGGGGAAACCCUGAUGCAGCGACGCCGCGUGAGUGAAGAAGUAUUUCGGUACGUAAAGCUCUAUCAGCAGGGAAGAAAAAAAGUCCUUUGGACUUUGGACGGUACCUGACUAAGAAGCCCCGGCUAACUACGUGCCAGCAGCCGCGGUAAUACGUAGGGGGCAAGCGUUAUCCGGAUUUACUGGGUGUAAAGGGAGCGUAGACGGCAGCGCAAGUCUGGAGUGAAAUGCCGGGGCCCAACCCCGGAACUGCUUUGGAAACUGUGCAGCUGGAGUGCAGGAGAGGUAAGCGGAAUUCCUAGUGUAGCGGUGAAAUGCGUAGAUAUUAGGAGGAACACCAGUGGCGAAGGCGGCUUACUGGACUGUAACUGACGUUGAGGCUCGAAAGCGUGGGGAGCAAACAGGAUUAGAUACCCUGGUAGUCCACGCCGUAAACGAUGAUUACUAGGUGUCGGGGGGUCAAGGCCCUCCGGUGCCGCCGCAAAC
rnacentral:rRNA from 1 species